UCUACGGGCGGCUGCAGUGGGGAAUAUUGGACAAUGGGCGAAAGCCUGAUCCAGCCAUGCCGCGUGUGUGAAGAAGGCCUUCGGGUUGUAAAGCACUUUCAGUGGGGAAGAAAGCCUUGGGGCUAAUACCCUCGAGGAAGGACAUCACCCACAGAAGAAGCACCGGCUAACUCCGUGCCAGCAGCCGCGGUAAUACGGAGGGUGCGAGCGUUAAUCGGAAUUACUGGGCGUAAAGCGCGCGUAGGCGGUCUGAUAAGCCGGUUGUGAAAGCCCCGGGCUCAACCUGGGAACGGCAUCCGGAACUGUCAGGCUAGAGUGCAGGAGAGGAAGGUAGAAUUCCCGGUGUAGCGGUGAAAUGCGUAGAGAUCGGGAGGAAUACCAGUGGCGAAGGCGGCCUUCUGGACUGACACUGACGCUGAGGUGCGAAAGCGUGGGUAGCAAACAGGAUUAGAUACCCUUGUAGUC
rnacentral:rRNA from 1 species